rnacentral:rRNA from 1 species
UACAGAGGGUGCGAGCGUUGUUCGGAAUUAUUGGGCGUAAAGGGCGCGUAGGCGGUGCGGUAAGUCACCUGUGAAAUCUCCUGGCUCAACUGGGAGCUUGCAGGCGAAACUGCCGUGCUGGAGUGUGGGAGAGGUGCGUGGAAUUCCCGGUGUAGCGGUGAAAUGCGCAGAUAUCAGGAAGAACACCCGUGGCGAAGGCGGCUCUCUGGGACGGUACUGACGCUGAGACGCGAAAGCGUGGGGAGCGAACAGG